rnacentral:rRNA from 1 species
CUGGCUCAGGAUGAACGCUGGCGGUUUGCGUAACACAUGCAAGUCGAACGGGACUCUUCGGAGUUAGUGGCGGACGGGUGAGUAACGCGUGAGAAUCUGCCUCCAGGACGGGGGACAACAGAGGGAAAACUUCUGCUAAUCCCGGAUGAGCCGAAAAGGUCAAAGAUUUAUCGCCUGGAGAUGAGCUCGCGUCUGAUUAGCUAGUUGGUGAGGUAAAAGCUUACCAAGGCAACGAUCAGUAGCUGGUCUGAGAGGAUGAUCAGCCACACUGGGACUGAGACACGGCCCAGACUCCUACGGGAGGCAGCAGUGGGGAAUUUUCCGCAAUGGGCGCAAGCCUGACGGAGCAAGACCGCGUGGGGGAGGAAAGCCUUUGGGUUGUAAACCCCUUUUCUCAGGGAAGAAGAAAGUGACGGUACCUGAGGAAUCAGCCUCGGCUAACUCCGUGCCAGCAGCCGCGGUAAUACGGAGGAGGCAAGCGUUAUCCGGAAUGAUUGGGCGUAAAGCGUUCGUAGGUGGCGAUUCAAGUCUGCUGUCAAAGACAGUAGCUCAACUACUGAAAGGCAGUGGAAACUGAAUGGCUAGAGUGCGGUAGGGGCAGAGGGAAUUCCCGGUGUAGCGGUGAAAUGCGUAGAGAUCGGGAAGAACACCGGUGGCGAAAGCGCUCUGCUGGGCCGCAACUGACAC